rnacentral:rRNA from 1 species
CAUUAGUUAGUUGGUGGGGUAAAGGCCUACCAAGACAAUGAUGCAUAGCCGAGUUGAGAGACUGAUCGGCCACAUUGGGACUGAGACACGGCCCAAACUCCUACGGGAGGCUGCAGUAGGGAAUCUUCCACAAUGGGCGAAAGCCUGAUGGAGCAACGCCGCGUGUGUGAUGAAGGCUUUCGGGUCGUAAAGCACUGUUGUAUGGGAAGAACAGCUAGAAUAGGAAAUGAUUUUAGUUUGACGGUACCAUACCAGAAAGGGACGGCUAAAUACGUGCCAGCAGCCGCGGUAAUACGUAUGUCCCGAGCGUUAUCCGGAUUUAUUGGGCGUAAAGCGAGCGCAGACGGUUUAUUAAGUCUGAUGUGAAAGCCCGGAGCUCAACUCCGGAAUGGCAUUGGAAACUGGUUAACUUGAGUGCAGUAGAGGUAAGUGGAACUCCAUGUGUAGCGGUGGAAUGCGUAGAUAUAUGGAAGAACACCAGUGGCGAAGGCGGCUUACUGGACUGCAACUGACGUUGAGGCUCGAAAGUGUGGGUAGCAAACAGGAUUAGAUACCCUGGUAGUCCACACCGUAAACGAWGAACGGCUAGGUGUUAGGAGGUUUCCGCC